UUCUUCUUGUUUUUGUAGGAAGUAUGACCUGCCCACUGAUAAAUUUUAAAGGGCCGCGGUAAUUUGACCGUGCAAAGGUAGCAUAAUCAUUAGUCUUUUAAUUGGAGGCUGGAAUGAAUGGUUGAACGAAAUAUAUACUGUCUUAUUAUAUAAUAGUAGAAUUUAAUAAUUAAGUAAGAAAGCUUAAAUGGAUUUAUGGGACGAGAAGACCCUAUAGAGUUUAAUUGAUAAAAUUAUAGGUUUAUUGUUUGUAAUUAUUUAUUAUAAUUUUAUUAAUUUUGUUGGGGUGAUGGGAAGAUAAAAUUAACUCUUUUUAUAAGUAAUAUAUUGAUUUAUAGAUUUGUGAUCCAUUAUUGUUGAUUAUAAGACUAAAUUACCUUAGGGAUAACAGCGUAAUCUUUCUUGAGAGUUCAUAUCGACAGGAAGGGUUGCGACCUCGAUGUUGGAUUAAGAUAAACAUUAGGUGUAGAAGUUUAAUUUGUUAGGUCUGUUCGACCUUUAAUAUCUUACGUGAUCUGAGUUCA
rnacentral:rRNA from 9 species